AUAGCGUAUAUUAAAGUUGUUGCAGUUAAAAAGCUCGUAGUUGAACUUCAGACCUGGCUGGGCGGUCUGCUUAACGGCAUGUACUGUCUGGCUGAGUCUUACCUCUUGGUGAGCCAGUGUGCCCUUUAUUGGUGUGCAUUGGGGAACCAGGACUUUUACCUUGAGAAAAUUAGAGUGUUCAAAGCAGGCCUAUGCCCGAAUACAUUAGCAUGGAAUAAUAGAAUAGGACGUGUGGUUCUAUUUUGUUGGUUUCUAGAAUUGCCGUAAUGAUUAAUAGGGAUAGUUGGGGGCAUUGGUAUUCAGUCGCUAGAGGUGAAAUUCUUGGAUUGACUGAAGACCGACUAUUG
rnacentral:rRNA from 1 species